AUUGAACGCUGGCGGCAGGCCUAACACAUGCAAGUCGAGCGGCAGCGGAAAGUAGCUUGCUACUUUGCCGGCGAGCGGCGGACGGGUGAGUAAUGUCUGGGAAACUGCCUGAUGGAGGGGGAUAACUACUGGAAACGGUAGCUAAUACCGCAUAACGUCGCAAGACCAAAGAGGGGGACCUUCGGGCCUCUUGCCAUCAGAUGUGCCCAGAUGGGAUUAGCUAGUAGGUGGGGUAACGGCUCACCUAGGCGAAGAUCCCUAGCUGGUCUGAGAGGAUGACCAGCCACACUGGAACUGAGACACGGUCCAGACUCCUACGGGAGGCAACAGUGGGGAAUAUUGCACAAUGGGCGCAAGCCUGAUGCAGCCAUGCCGCGUGUAUGAAGAAGGCCUUCGGGUUGUAAAGCACUUUCAGCGGGGAGGAAGGUGUUGAGGUUAAUAACCUCAGCAAUUGACGUUACCCGCAGAAGAAGCACCGGCUAACUCCGUGCCAGCAGCCGCAGUAACAC
rnacentral:rRNA from 1 species